rnacentral:rRNA from 1 species
UACGGGGGGGGCAAGCGUUGUUCGGAAUUACUGGGCGUAAAGGGCUCGUAGGCGGUCAACUAAGUCGGAUGUGAAAUCCCCAAGCUUAACUUGGGAACUGCAUCCGAUACUGGAUGGCUUGAAUCCGGGAGAGGGAUGCAGAAUUCCAGGUGUAGCGGUGAAAUGCGUAGAUAUCGGGAGGAACACCAGUGGCGAAGGCGACUUCCUGGCCUGUUCUUGACGCUGAGGCGCGAAAGCUAGGGUAGCAAACGGG